rnacentral:rRNA from 1 species
UUAAGCGACUAAGCGUACACGGUGGAUGCCCUGGCAGUCAGAGGCGAUGAAGGACGUGCUAAUCUGCGAUAAGCGUCGGUAAGGUGAUAUGAACCGUUAUAACCGGCGAUUUCCGAAUGGGGAAACCCAGUGUGUUUCGACACACUAUCAUUAACUGAAUCCAUAGGUUAAUGAGGCGAACCGGGGGAACUGAAACAUCUAAGUACCCCGAGGAAAAGAAAUCAACCGAGAUUCCCCCAGUAGCGGCGAGCGAACGGGGAGCAGCCCAGAGCCUGAAUCAGUGUGUGUGUUAGUGGAAGCGUCUGGAAAGGCGCGCGAUACAGGGUGACAGCCCCGUACACAAAAAUGCACAUGCUGUGAGCUCGAUGAGUAGGGCGGGACACGUGGUAUCCUGUCUGAAUAUGGGGGGACCAUCCUCCAAGGCUAAAUACUCCUGACUGACCGAUAGUGAACCAGUACCGUGAGGGAAAGGCGAAAAGAACCCCGGCGAGGGGAGUGAAAAAGAACCUGAAACCGUGUACGUACAAGCAGUGGGAGCACGCUUAGGCGUGUGACUGCGUACCUUUUGUAUAAUGGGUCAGCGACUUAUAUUCUGUAGCAAGGUUAACCGAAUAGGGGAGCCGAAGGGAAACCGAGUCUUAACUGGGCGUUAAGUUGCAGGGUAUAGACCCGAAACCCGGUGAUCUAGCCAUGGGCAGGUUGAAGGUUGGGUAACACUAACUGGAGGACCGAACCGACUAAUGUUGAAAAAUUAGCGGAUGACUUGUGGCUGGGGGUGAAAGGCCAAUCAAACCGGGAGAUAGCUGGUUCUCCCCGAAAGCUAUUUAGGUAGCGCCUCGUGAAUUCAUCUCCGGGGGUAGAGCACUGUUUCGGCAAGGGGGUCAUCCCGACUUACCAACCCGAUGCAAACUGUGAAUACCGGAGAAUGUUAUCACGGGAGACACACGGCGGGUGCUAACGUCCGUCGUGAAGAGGGAAACAACCCAGACCGCCAGCUAAGGUCCCAAAGUCAUGGUUAAGUGGGAAACGAUGUGGGAAGGCCCAGACAGCCAGGAUGUUGGCUUAGAAGCAGCCAUCAUUUAAAGAAAGCGUAAUAGCUCACUGGUCGAGUCGGCCUGCGCGGAAGAUGUAACGGGGCUAAACCAUGCACCGAAGCUGCGGCAGCGACGCUUAUGCGUUGUUGGGUAGGGGAGCGUUCUGUAAGCCUGUGAAGGUGUGCUGUGAGGCAUGCUGGAGGUAUCAGAAGUGCGAAUGCUGACAUAAGUAACGAUAAAGCGGGUGAAAAGCCCGCUCGCCGGAAGACCAAGGGUUCCUGUCCAACGUUAAUCGGGGCAGGGUGAGUCGACCCCUAAGGCGAGGCCGAAAGGCGUAGUCGAUGGGAAACAGGUUAAUAUUCCUGUACUUGGUGUUACUGCGAAGGGGGGACGGAGAAGGCUAUGUUGGCCGGGCGACGGUUGUCCCGGUUUAAGCGUGUAGGCUGGUUUUCCAGGCAAAUCCGGAAAAUCAAGGCUGAGGCGUGAUGACGAGGCACUACGGUGCUGAAGCAACAAAUGCCCUGCUUCCAGGAAAAGCCUCUAAGCAUCAGGUAACAUCAAAUCGUACCCCAAACCGACACAGGUGGUCAGGUAGAGAAUACCAAGGCGCUUGAGAGAACUCGGGUGAAGGAACUAGGCAAAAUGGUGCCGUAACUUCGGGAGAAGGCACGCUGAUAUGUAGGUGAAGUCCCUCGCGGAUGGAGCUGAAAUCAGUCGAAGAUACCAGCUGGCUGCAACUGUUUAUUAAAAACACAGCACUGUGCAAACACGAAAGUGGACGUAUACGGUGUGACGCCUGCCCGGUGCCGGAAGGUUAAUUGAUGGGGUUAGCCGCAAGGCGAAGCUCUUGAUCGAAGCCCCGGUAAACGGCGGCCGUAACUAUAACGGUCCUAAGGUAGCGAAAUUCCUUGUCGGGUAAGUUCCGACCUGCACGAAUGGCGUAAUGAUGGCCAGGCUGUCUCCACCCGAGACUCAGUGAAAUUGAACUCGCUGUGAAGAUGCAGUGUACCCGCGGCAAGACGGAAAGACCCCGUGAACCUUUACUAUAGCUUGACACUGAACAUUGAGCCUUGAUGUGUAGGAUAGGUGGGAGGCUUAGAAGUGUGGACGCCAGUCUGCAUGGAGCCGACCUUGAAAUACCACCCUUUAAUGUUUGAUGUUCUAACGUUGACCCGUAAUCCGGGUUGCGGACAGUGUCUGGUGGGUAGUUUGACUGGGGCGGUCUCCUCCUAAAGAGUAACGGAGGAGCACGAAGGUUGGCUAAUCCUGGUCGGACAUCAGGAGGUUAGUGCAAUGGCAUAAGCCAGCUUGACUGCGAGCGUGACGGCGCGAGCAGGUGCGAAAGCAGGUCAUAGUGAUCCGGUGGUUCUGAAUGGAAGGGCCAUCGCUCAACGGAUAAAAGGUACUCCGGGGAUAACAGGCUGAUACCGCCCAAGAGUUCAUAUCGACGGCGGUGUUUGGCACCUCGAUGUCGGCUCAUCACAUCCUGGGGCUGAAGUAGGUCCCAAGGGUAUGGCUGUUCGCCAUUUAAAGUGGUACGCGAGCUGGGUUUAGAACGUCGUGAGACAGUUCGGUCCCUAUCUGCCGUGGGCGCUGGAGAACUGAGGGGGGCUGCUCCUAGUACGAGAGGACCGGAGUGGACGCAUCACUGGUGUUCGGGUUGUCAUGCCAAUGGCACUGCCCGGUAGCUAAAUGCGGAAGAGAUAAGUGCUGAAAGCAUCUAAGCACGAAACUUGCCCCGAGAUGAGUUCUCCCUGACUCCUUGAGAGUCCUGAAGGAACGUUGAAGACGACGACGUUGAUAGGCCGGGUGUGUAAGCGCAGCGAUGCGUUGAGCUAACCGGUACUAAUGAACCGUGAGGCUUAACCUU